rnacentral:rRNA from 1 species
CCUACGGGUGGCUGCAGUCGAGAAUCUUCCGCAAUGGACGAAAGUCUGACGGAGCGACGCCGCGUGGAUGAUGAAGUUCUUCGGAAUGUAAACUCCUUUUGCCAGGGAAAAAGUUUAUUGAUGGUACCUGGAGAAUAAGAGGUUGCUAAACUCGUGCCAGCAGCAGCGGUAAUACGAGUGCCUCAAGCGUUACCCGGAAUCACUGGGCGUAAAGGUUGUGUAGGUGGUUAUAUUAGUCUUUUGUUAAAGCCUGCGGCUUAACCGCAGAAAUGCAAAGGAAACGGUAUGACUAGAGGAUGCGAGGGGUCUGUGGAACUCAUAGUGUAGCGGUAAAAUGCGUUGAUAUUAUGGGGAACACCAAAAGCGAAGGCAGCAGACUGGCGCACUCCUGACACUGAAACAAGAAAGCGUGGGUAGCGAAUGGGAUUAGAUACCCCAGUAGUC